rnacentral:rRNA from 1 species
UACAGAGGUCUCAAGCGUUGUUCGGAUUCAUUGGGCGUAAAGGGUGCGUAGGCGGCGCGGUAAGUCGGGUGUGAAAUCUCGGGGCUUAACUCCGAAACUGCAUUCGAUACUGCCGUGCUUGAGGACUGGAGAGGAGACUGGAAUUUACGGUGUAGCGGUGAAAUGCGUAGAUAUCGUAAGGAAGACCAGUGGCGAAGGCGGGUCUCUGGACAGUUCCUGACGCUGAGGCACGAAGGCCAGGGGAGCAAACAGG